UUGUAGGAAUAUCGCAAAGUUCAAAAAUCAAGAAGAGAUAAACACAUUUACAAUCAUUAUCUUGGAAGAAAAUGAUAUGCACGUUUUGAGCAAGAUAUAGAUGAAUUACUAGAAAAGGCAAGGAGACUGGACUACCUCCACCUGGUCCAAAUGACAUAUUAUGUCAGGCAUUGGGUACAUGCAUGAUCAACUACAUAUUGCCAAAAAGGAAUCACAAUUUAUAUUUGUUAAUCCUUUUACAAUAUCAUGAGCAGGCUUUAGUAAUCCUCAAACAGAGAAAAGAACACAAUUGUUGUCAAAACACUUAAUAGAGUGCCAAGAUGUCGGAUAUGUUUUCAUGCCCUACAACCCCGACUUUCAUUGGGUCUUGGUAGUGAUUGAGCCAAGGAAAAUGAUAGUCCACUAUCUUGACCCUAUGCAUCACAAACCAUGUGAGGACUUAAAGGAUAUCGUAAACAU